rnacentral:rRNA from 1 species
UACGUAGGGUGCGAGCGUUAAUCGGAAUACUGGGCGUAAAGCGUGCGCAGGCGGUGAUGUAAGACCGUAUGUGAAAUCCCCGGGCUUAACCUGGGAACUGCAUUGGUGACUGCAUUGCUGGAGUAUGGCAGAGGGGGGGUGGAAUUCCACGUGUAGCAGUGAAAUGCGUAGAGAUGUGGAGGAACACCGAUGGCGAAGGCAGCCCCUGGGCCAAUACUGACGCUCGAUGCACGAAAGCGUAGGGGAGCGAA